rnacentral:sRNA from 1 species
AGAUAUGAGGGUGAUCUGGCUGUGACAUCUGUCACCCCAUUGAUUGCCAGGGUUGAUUCAGCUGGCUAGCGGGUAUCCCUCUCCUCCCUCACCGCUCCACGUGUGUCCCUCCUGAAGCUGCACGCUCAAAGAGGGCAACCAGUCUUCAGUCCCUGCUAGAACCUCCAAACAAGUCCGCUCCAAAGACAGCGGGCCAUUCCCGUCUGCUCU